GUGAAUCAUCGAAUUUUUGAACGCAAAUUGCACUCUCUUCGGAGAGUAUGCCUGUUUGAGGGUCAGUAUUAAUAAAAAUCGGUGUGUUGCUUCUUUGUGACGCCCCGGGGCUUGGGUCAUCUUAAUAUCCUUUAGUUUUUAAGAAGCGUAAAAUUGACUUUUUUUGCGCUCUUUAAAUGUACAUAAUUUUUUUUUUUUUUCAUCUUUCUUAAUUCGCAUAUUACUAUUA
rnacentral:misc_RNA from 1 species